GACAGAGGGUGCAAACGUUGUUCGGAAUUACUGGGCGUAAAGCGAGUGUAGGCGGUUUGGCAAGUCGGAUGUGAAAGCCCCGGGCUCAACCCGGGAAGUGCACUCGAUACUGCCAAGCUAGAGUAUCGGAGAGGUUGGUGGAAUUCUCGGUGUAGAGGUGAAAUUCGUAGAUAUCGAGAGGAACACCGGUGGCGAAGGCGGCCAACUGGACGAAUACUGACGCUGAGACUCGAAAGCGUGGGGAGCAAACAGG
rnacentral:rRNA from 1 species